rnacentral:tRNA from 1 species
GGGCCUGUAGCUCAAUGGUUAGAGCAGCGGACUCAUAAUCCGUUGGUUGGGGGUUCAACUCCCUCCGGGCCCA